GAUGAACGCUGGCGGCGCGCCUAACACAUGCAAGUCGAACGAUUAAAGCACCUUCGGGUGUGUAUAAAGUGGCGAACGGCUGAGUAACACGUGGGCAACCUGCCCCUUUCAUUGGGAUAGCCACGGGAAACCGUGGAUAAUACCGAAUACUUCGAGACUUCCGCAUGGAAGACUCGAGAAAGCUCCGGCGGAGAGGGAUGGGCCCGCGGCCUGUUAGCUUGUUGGUGGGGUAACGGCCUACCAAGGCAAUGAUGGGUAGCUGGGUUGAGAGACCGACCAGCCAGAUUGGGACUGAGACACGGCCCAGACUCCUACGGGAGGCAGCAGUGGGGAAUCUUGCACAGUGGGCGAAAGCCUGAUGCAGCGACGCCGCGUGCGGGAUGAAGGCCUUCGGGUUGUAAACCGCUUUCAGCAGGGACGAGGCGAAAGUGACGGUACCUGCAGAAGAAGCCCCGGCUAACUACGUG
rnacentral:rRNA from 1 species